rnacentral:rRNA from 1 species
GAGAAUCCCACAGGCCGUAAACCCAAGGUUUCCAGGGGAAGGUUCGUCCGCCCUGGGUUAGUCGGGACCUAAGCUGAGGCCGAAAGGCGUAGGUGAUGGACAACAGGUUGAUAUUCCUGUACUACCGAUAACCGUUUGAGAGAAGGGAUGACACAGUAGGAUAAGCUAAGCACACUGUUGGUUAUGUGUGCCCAAGCAUUGAGGCAGUCAAAGUAGGCAAAUCCGCUUUGAUAAUGCUGGGAUGUGAUGGGGAGCGAAAUUUAGUAGCGAAGUAGCUGAUUUCACACUGUCAAGAAAAGUCUCUAUCGAGGUUAAAGGUACCCGUACCGCAAACCGACACAGGUGGGUGAGGAGAGUAUCCUAAGGCCAGCGAGAGAACUGUUGUUAAGGAACUCGGCAAAAUGACCCCGUAACUUAGGGAUAAGGGGUGCCACCAUCAGGUGGCCGCAGAGAAUAGGCCCAAGCGACUGUUUACCAAAAACAUAGGUUUCUGCUAAGUCGCAAGACGAUGUAUAGGAGCUGACGCCUGCCCGGUGCUGGAAGGUUAAGGGGAUCUGUUAGAGCAAUCGAAGCAGUGAACUUAAGCCCCAGUAAACGGCGGCCGUAACUAUAACGGUCCUAAGGUAGCGAAAUUCCUUGUCGGGUAAGUUCCGACCCGCACGAAAGGCGUAACGAUUUGGGCACUGUCUCAACAACAGACUCGGUGAAAUUGUAAUUCCGGUGAAGAUGCCGGAUACCUGCGACAGGACGGAAAGACCCCAUGGAGCUUUACUGUAGCUUGACAUUGGGUCUUGGUACUACAUGUACAGGAUAGGUGGGAGGCUUUGAAACCAGGACGCCAGUUUUGGCGGAGCCAUCCUUGGGAUACCACCCUUGUAGUACUGGGACUCUAACCAUAGGCCAUGAAUCUGGUCUUGGGACACUGUCAGGUGGGCAGUUUGACUGGGGCGGUCGCCUCCCAAAAGGUAACGGAGGCGCUCAAAGGUUCUCUCAGUACGGUCGGAAAUCGUACGUAGAGUGUAAAGGCAAAAGAGAGCUUGAUUGCAAGACAUACAGGUCGAGCAAGGAUGAAAAUCGGACUUAGUGAUCCGGUGGUUCUGCGUGGAAGGGCCAUCGCUCAACGGAUAAAAGCUACCCUGGGGAUAACAGGCUUAUCUCCCCCAAGAGUCCACAUCGACGGGGAGGUUUGGCACCUCGAUGUCGGCUCAUCACAUCCUGGGGCUGUAGUAGGUCCCAAGGGUUGGGCUGUUCGCCCAUUAAAGUGGUACGCGAGCUGGGUUCAGAACGUCGUGAGACAGUUCGGUCCCUAUCCGUCGCAGGCGUAGGAAAUUUGAGAAGACCUGUCCUUAGUACGAGAGGACCGGGAUGGACGUACCUCUGGUGUACCAGUUGUCCUGCCAAGGGCAUGGCUGGG